rnacentral:rRNA from 1 species
CCCUUAGAUGUUCUGGGCCGCACGCGCGCUACACUGACGGAGCCAACGAGUAUUUUCCUUGUCCGGAAGGACUGGGUAAUCUUGUGAAACUUUGUCGUGCUGGGGAUAGAGCAUUGUAAUUAUUGCUCUUCAACGAGGAAUUCCUAGUAAGCGUGAGUCAUCAGCUCGCGUUGAUUACGUCCCUGCCCUUUGUACACACCGCCCGUCGCUACUACCGAUUGAGUGGUCCGGUGAGGCUUUGGGAUCUGAGCGGAAAGAGCGUUUCGCUGUUUCUGCUCGGAAAACUCAGUCGAACCUUAUCAUUUAGAGGAAGGAGAAGUCGUAACA